CCUACGGGUGGCAGCAGUGAGGAAUAUUGGUCAAUGGGCGCGAGCCUGAACCAGCCAAGUAGCGUGAAGGAUGACUGCCCUACGGGUUGUAAACUUCUUUUAUAAAGGAAUAAAGUGAGGCACGUGUGCCUUUUUGUAUGUAUUUUAUGAAUAAGGAUCGGCUAACUCCGUGCCAGCAGCCGCGGUAAUACGGAGGAUCCGCGCGUUAUCCGGAUUUGUUGGGUUUAAAGGUAGCGUAGAUGGGUUGUUAAGUCAGUUGUGAAAGUUUGCGGCUCAAACGUAAAAUUGCAAUUGAUACUGGCAGCCUUGAGUACAGGUGAGGUAGGCGGAAUUCGUGGUGUAGCGGUGAAAUGCUUAGAUAUCACGAAGAACUCCGAUUGCGAAGGCAGCUCACUGGACUGCAACUGACACUGAUGCUCGAAAGUGUGGGUAUCAAACAGGAUUAGAUACCCGAGUAGUC
rnacentral:rRNA from 1 species